AAGAUCAUACUUCACAGGAUCAUUUCUGUAGUAUAUCUUCACAUACUCCACAUUCACAUGUGGAGUUGACGCAACCACGAUGACGAGUGACAGUUUCGUGUCCUGAGCGUGAGGCAGAUCCGUAUUCAGUUUCUGAGACUGGAUUCAGAUCAUCGAUGAUCGUUCAGCACAGGCUUUGCUUGUGUGACGGACAUGGAACAGUCUGAGUGGU